rnacentral:rRNA from 1 species
CCCGCACAAGCGGAGGAACAUUGUGGUUUAAUUCGAUGAUACGCGAGGAACCUUACCUGGGCUUAAAUGCAGAGUGCAUGAAGUGGAAACACUUCUUCCCUUCGGGGCUCUUUGCAAGGUGCUGCAUGGUUGUCGUCAGCUCGUGCCGUGAGGUGUCGGGUUAAGUCCCAUAACGAGCGCAACCCUUAUCGUUAGUUGCCAGCGGGUAAAGCCGGGAACUCUAGCGAAACUGCCGGUGUAAACCGAGAGGAAGGUGGGAUGACGUCAAAUCAGCACGGCCCUUAUGUCCAGGGCUACACACGUGUUACAAUGGCCGGUACAGAGGGCAGCUACCUGGAGACAGGAUGCGAAUCUCGAAAGCCGGUCUCAGUUCGGAUCGGAGUCUGCAACUCGACUCCGUGAAGCUGGAUUCGCUAGUAAUCGCGCAUCAGCCAUGGCGCGGUGAAUACGUUCCCGGGCCUU